UACGAGGGGGGCGAGCGUUGUUCGGAAUUAUUGGGCGUAAAGGGUGCGUAGGCGGUUUGGUAAGUCUUGUGUGAAAUCUUCGGGCUCAACUCGAAGUCUGCACGAGAAACUGCCGGGCUUGAGUAUGGGAGAGGUGAGUGGAAUUCCCGGUGUAGCGGUGAAAUGCGCAGAUAUCAGGAGGAACACCGGUGGCGAAGGCGGGAUCCUGGGCCAGUACUGACGCUGAGGAGCGAAAGCGUGGGGAGCAAUCAGG
rnacentral:rRNA from 1 species